UACAGAGGUCUCAAGCGUUGUUCGGAUUCAUUGGGCGUAAAGGGCGCGUAGGCGGUGGGGUAAGUCUGGUGUGAAAUCUCGGAGCUCAACUUCGAAAUUGCACUGGAUACUGCUCUGCUAGAGGGCUGGAGAGGAGAUCGGAAUUCACGGUGUAGCAGUGAAAUGCGUAGAUAUCGUGAGGAAGACCAGUGGCGAAGGCGGAUCUCUGGACAGCUCCUGACGCUGAGGCGCGAAGGCUAGGGAGCAAACGGG
rnacentral:rRNA from 1 species